CGAGCUGUUGCGAGGGGCGAUGGAAUCGGGACCGCGCGCGCAGGCAGGCUGCCGAUCACCGUCACGUCGCGGAUCCGCUGCAGCGACAGAGAUGCUGAGGUGAAGCCGCAGAGGAGACACCGCCGCCCGGACAUAUUUCCUCCCUCCCAGCCGCUUUGUUUGCUUCUAAUCACCGGUGGUCACCUCCGCCUCCUGCCCGGCGGACGCUCCCCUCGCUAUGGGCUCCGGCUCCGCGUCGUCCCCGCCGCCUCCGAACGCAGAGGCUCGUCUGUAACCACACCCGGCGCCUCCUCAGUGGAUCCCGCAGACCCGAGGGUUCUCCAUCAAGGUCCUAAUGCCCGGCCCAGUGUGAGGCAGCGGGUCGAGGGGGGGGAAGCAGUGAGGACAGCGUCUCUGGUCCACAGACGUAAUGAGCGGGGGAGCGGAGCAAGCUGACAUCCUAAGCGUGCUCUCCCUGGUCAAGGAACGAUGGAAAGUGGUGAAGAAGAUUGGGGGUGGAGGGUUCGGCGAGAUCUACGAGGCGCUGGACCUGCUGACGCGGGUCAGUGUGGCGCUGAAGGUGGAGUCGGCCCAGCAGCCCAAACAGGUGCUCAAGAUGGAGGUGGCCGUGCUGAAGAAGC